UGGGAGGCUGAGGCAGGAGAAUCACAAGUUUACGCUCAUCGUGGCUAACCUAGUGACUUAUGAGACCUUGUCUUAAAAAAAUUUUUAAAGAUCAGUGCAAAGGCCCUGGGUUCAAUCCCCAUUAACCCCCCUCCAAAAAAAAGUAGUGCAGAAUUGGGUAGGUGUUUAUAUAUUUGAAGGCAGUCAGUUCUGACAUGCUGGAAUUUUAACCCCGUGGCAGGAAACCAAGAGCUGGUGUGAGAACACUGCAUCCACAAAGCAACGGCCCAUGCAGUGUCACCUGUGAAUGUUGAAAAUCUGCAGUAUGUGAUGGCACAAAGGAUGAAGAACUUGGAAAAUUGAGUGGGCAUGCUUGGAUGGGUGUGCUGCAUGAGGCCAGGAAACAGUAGAUGAUGAAAAUUAAAGCAACAAGGAAUGCCCUAGUGAGAAAACCAUCACUUAAUUGGUGGAGAAUCAGAAACUCUUGAGCUGGACAUAGUGGUGCACACUGCAAUCCCAACACUUGAGUGGCUGAGGCAGGAGAAUCAAAGUUUGAGCUCAGCCAGAGCAACUUAUAGGAAGAACAAUUGUUGGGAUACCUCAUGGAGAAACCAAAGAUGCAGUACAUUCAAAAACUGUCCUGAAUAGGUGGGAGUGGCCUUAAAUAAUACUUUCUCACAGCAGGUGAUGUUUAAUUGGGGAUACAGAAACCCAGUUAUGAAGGAACACACUGAAUACUCAGGUAUCACAACCAAAUAUCCUUAUUUUUCUC
rnacentral:lncRNA from 1 species